UCCAGCCACAUGAGGUCUAGCAUUGUCUUGCAUUAGGAGGAACCCAGGGCCAACCGCACCAGCAUAUGGUCUCACAAGGGGUCUGAGGAUCUCAUCUCGGUACCUAAUGGCAGUCAGGCUACCUCUGGCGAGCACAUGGAGGGCUGUGCGGCCCCCCAAAGAAAUGCCACCCCACACCAUCACUGACCCACCGCCAAACCGGUCAUGCUAGAGGAUGUUGCAGGCAGCAGAACGUUCUCCACGGCGUCUCCAGACUGUCACGUCUGUCACAUGUGCUGUGUGAACCUGCUUUCAUCUGUGAAGAGCACAGGGCAUCAGUGGCGAAUUUGCCAAUCUUGGUGUUCUCUGGCAAAUGCCAAACGUCCUGCACGGUGUUGGGCUGUAAGCACAACCCCCACCUGUGGACGUCGGGCCCUCAUACCACCCUCAUGGAGUCUGUUUCUGACCGUUUGAGCAGACACAUGCACAUUUGUGGCCUGCUGGAGGUCAUUUUGCAGAGCUCUGGCAGUGCUCCUCCUGCUCCUCCUUGCACAAAGGCGGAGGUAGCGGUCCUGCUGCUGGGUUGUUGCCCUCCUACGGCCUCCUCCACGUCUCCUGAUGUACUGGCCUAUCUCCUGGUAGCGCCUCCAUGCUCUGGACACUACGCUGACAGACACAGCAAACCUUCUUGCCACAGCUCGCAUUGAUGUGCCAUCCUGGAUGAGCUGCACUACCUGAGCCACUUGUGUGGGUUGUAGACUCCGUCUCAUGCUACCACUAGAGUGAAAGCACCGCCAGCAUUCAAAAGUGACCAAAACAUCAGCCAGGAAGCAUAGGAACUGAGAAGUGGUCUAUGGUCACCACCUGCAGAACCACUCCUUUAUUGGGGGUGUCUUGCUAAUUGCCUAUAAUUUCCGCCUGUUGUCUAUUCCAUUUGCACAACAGCAUGUGAAAUUUAUUGUCAAUCAGUGUUGCUUCCUAAGUGGACAGUUUGAUUUCACAGAAGUGUGAUUGACUUGGAGUUACAUUGUGUUGUUUAAGUGUUCCCUUUUUUUUGGAGCAGUGUACAUUCCAUCAGGCAUGUCUAAUGUCUCACUUUUCCACUGUACAAAAAGUGCAGGGUUGGGGUCAAUUUAGGAACUACACUGUUCCAGUGUGGAGAAGACGUUUCAAUUUAACAGAGUGGAGUUGAGCCUGGUACAAGCCUACACUUCCCUGUCAAAGGGCGCCCUUAAGUGGUGAAGCUACAAAAUUACAAGAAAGAAACCCCAUCACCUCUAACAAUCACCUUUUUGAGUGAAUAGGCAAACAGAAUUUUGACAAAACUGGGGGACAGUUUAGAGUGUUUCUAAAAAUAUCCCUGGAAAAGAUACUGUGUACAGUCAUUGACAGUUUGCUUCUCCCCAAGGACUGAGAUGCCUGUCACCUACUAUACGUCAUUUCCUGUCACAAACUCCUGUCACAAUCUCGGAUACCUCCUGCGCCUCGACCUGUUGUUUCGGCCUGUAGUUUCUAACGUUUUUAUUUUAUUUUUUAUUUUGCGUCAAAGCCUGAUACCAACUAGUAUCGUGGAAAAUUACAUAAUUAGUCAUGCUAUCCCGUGUUUUAAAUAAUUGUCUCUUGUUAUAUGAUAGUGCCUCGCUUUUAGUCCUUAGGAAACUUUGCAUUAUUAUUUCUUACAUUGUUAGCCCAGUGUUAUUACAUACAGCCGGGAAGAAAUAUUGGAUAUCAGAGCGACGUCAACUUACCAGCACUACGACCAGGAAUACAACUUUCCCAAAGCGGAUCCUUUGUCCGCACCAUCCAGAGGCCGACCCAAAACAACGCAGCCGGAGAAGAGGGAGACGGAGCGAUCGUCUGGUCAGACUUCGAAGGCGCGCACACCACCCACCGCUUCCGAGUAUAUUACUCCCUAACGUCCCUAGAUAGCAAGGUCAACGAAAUCAGGGCAAGGGUUGCAUUCCAGAGAGACAUCAGAGAGACAUCAGGGAUUGUAACAUAUUCUGUUUCACGGAAACAUGGUUAUCUCGGGAUAUGCUGUCGGAGUCGGUACAUCCACCUGGAUUCUCAGUGCGUCACACCGACAGGAAUAAACAUCAUGAAGUGCUUUGAGAGACUAGUCAAUGAUCAUAUCACCUCCACCUUAUCUGUCACCCUAGACCCACUUCAAUUUGCUUACUGCCCCAAUUGGUCCACAGACGAUGCAAUCGCCAUCACACUGCAUACUGUCCUAUCCCAUCUGGACAAGAGGAAUACCUAUGUAAGAAUGCUGUUCAUUGACUAUAGAUCAGCAUUCAACACCAUAGUACCCUUCAAGCUCAUCAUUAAGCUUGAGGCCCUGGGUCUCAACCCCGCCCCGUGCAAUUGGGUCCUGGACUUCCUGACGUGACGCCCCCAGGUGGUGAAGGUAGGAAACACUUUGCUGAUCCUCAACACUGGGGCCCCACAAGGGUGUGUGCUUAGCCCCCUCCUGUACUCCCUGUUCACCCAUGCACGCCUCCAACUCAAUCAUCAAGUUUGCAAACGACACAACAGUAGUAGGCUUGGUUACCAACAACGACGAGACAGCCUACAGGGAGGUGAGGGCUCUCGGAGUGUGGUGUCAGGAAAAUAACCUCUCACUCAACGUCAACAAAACAAAGAAGAUGAUUGUGGACUUUAGGAAACAGUAGAGGGAGCACCCCCCCUAUCCACAUUGACGGAACAGCAGUGGAGAAGAUGGAAAGUUUUAAGUUCCUCGGCGUACACAUCACGUCCAAACUGAAAUGGUCCACCCACACAGACAGUGUGGUGAAGAAGACGCAACAGUGCUUCUUCAACCUCAGGAGGCUGAAGAAAUGUGUCUUGUCACCUAAAACCCUCACAAACUUUUACAGAUGCAAAAUUGAGAGCAUCCUGUCGGGCUGUAUCACUGCCUGGUACUGCAACUGCACCACCCACAAUCGCAGGGCUCUCCAAAGGGUGGUGCAGUCUGCACAAUGCAUCACCAGGGGCAAACUACCUGCCCUCCAGGACACCUACAGCACCCGAUGUCACAGGAAGGCCAAAAAGAUCAUCAAGGACAACAACCACCGAGCCACUGCCUGUUCACCUCACUACCAUCCAGAAAGCGAGGUCAGUACAGGUGCAUCAAAGCUGGGACGGAGAGACUGAAAAACAGAAAAAGCCAGUUAAACAGCCAUCACUAGCACAGAGAGGCUGCUGCCUACACUUUAAUAAAUGGAACACUGGUGACUUUAAUGACGCCACUUUAAUAAUGUUUACAUUUCUUGCAUUAAUCAUCUCAAAUGUAUAUACUGUAUUUUAUAUUAUCUAUUGCAUCUUAGCCUAUGCCGCUCUGUCAUUGCUCAUUCAUAUAUUCAUAUUUAUAUGAAUGUCCUUGGAGCAAAAACGUUGUGCUAUCCAGGAGCACCAGUACAAGACAUCAAUAAGCUGCUACCAAACAUUUUAAACCUGCAUCAGGAAAUUGAGUAUAUCAUAGUUCAUGUGGGAUUCAAUGACAUUAUGAAUGGCAGCUCAGAACAGCUGAAAAUGGAUUUUUGUGCCCUCCCUAAAUCGUGGCCUUGAAUGUUUCAGCAGACCUUCCAUAACUGGCUACGUGACUAUUGCAGCUCUGUGGGUGUAACAUUUAUUGACAACUUUUGUAAACGAAGCUUGUUUUAUAAGGAGGAUGGCAUCCCCCCAAAUCAUUUGGGUUCCUGGAUCCUUUCACAGCAUUAUAAGGCUGCUUUGAGACAAUGAGUUAUCAGUGACCCAAGCCCAGCUUAGUUAACCAUUGUGUCGCUGAGUUGUCAUAAUGCUUCAGCAAAUGUACAUUAUCCCAGGGGCGUUGGAAGACACAAUAGGACCUGAGCCCUAGGACCAUGCCUCAGGACUACCUGGCUUGAUGACUCCUUGCUGUCCCCAGUUCACCUGGCCGUGCUGCUGCUCCAGUUCCAACUGUUCUGCCUGCGGCUAUGGAACCCUGACCUGUUCACCGGACGUGCUACCUGUCCCAGACCUGCUGUUUUCAACUCUCUAGAGACAGCAGGAGCGGUAGAGAUACUCUCAAAGAUCGGCUAUGAAAAAGCCAACUGACACUCUUGUGUUACUGACUUGUUG
rnacentral:lncRNA from 1 species